rnacentral:rRNA from 1 species
ACGGGUGAGUAACGCGUGGGAACGUACCUUUUGGUUCGGAACAACACAGGGAAACUUGUGCUAAUACCGGAUAAGCCCUUACGGGGAAAGAUUUAUCGCCAAAAGAUCGGCCCGCGUCUGAUUAGCUUGUUGGUGAGGUAACGGCUCACCAAGGCGACGAUCAGUAGCUGGUCUGAGAGGAUGAUCAGCCACAUUGGGACUGAGACACGGCCCAAACUCCUACGGGAGGCAGCAGUGGGGAAUAUUGGACAAUGGGCGCAAGCCUGAUCCAGCCAUGCCGCGUGAGUGAUGAAGGCCCUAGGGUUGUAAAGCUCUUUUGUGCGGGAAGAUAAUGACUGUACCGCAAGAAUAAGCCCCGGCUAACUUCGUGCCAGCAGCCGCGGUAAUACGAAGGGGGCUAGCGUUGCUCGGAAUCACUGGGCGUAAAGGGUGCGUAGGUGGAUUUUUAAGUCAGGGGUGAAAUCCUGGAGCUCAACUCCAGAACUGCCUUUGAUACUGGGAAUCUUGAGUUCGGGAGAGGUGAGUGGAACUGCGAGUGUAGAGGUGAAAUUCGUAGA